AUGCUACUAAGUGAUCUCCACUAAAUCAUCCAAUGGGCAAUCUUUAGGUCCCACCUCUUAACCUUCGAGUCUUCUAAGCUUAGGUAAUUAUUUCAAAACAUUAAAAUACAAUGACCGUUGAUAUAACCUCUAAGCUUUUGCGACUAAAAUCUUGAUACAAAUUAUCCUGACAAAAGCCUCUGGUGAUCAGAGUUGCUGAGGGUUGUCAAACCAAACAUAAACAUCAUAUAUGCAAUCAUCCAUUUUCCUACAACAUUGUUACAACCUCCACUGUCUCUGAGAACUGUUUCGUACAACAUCUCCUUUUGAACUUUAUAUAUAUAUAUAAAAUAGUUGCCACUCCUAUGCUCUG
rnacentral:misc_RNA from 1 species